UACGUAGGGUGCAAGCGUUGUCCGGAAUUAUUGGGCGUAAAGAGCUCGUAGGCGGUUUGUCGCGUCUGCUGUGAAAUCCGGAGGCUCAGCCUCCGGCCUGCAGUGGGUACGGGCAGACUAGAGUGCGGUAGGGGAGAUUGGAAUUCCUGGUGUAGCGGUGGAAUGCGCAGAUAUCAGGAGGAACACCGAUGGCGAAGGCAGAUCUCUGGGCCGUAACUGACGCUGAGGAGCGAAAGCAUGGGGAGCGAACAGG
rnacentral:rRNA from 1 species